rnacentral:lncRNA from 1 species
GGAGAGGAAAGGAGGGCGUGGCUUCCUGCAUUUGGCGGGAUCUGUGUCUCUCGCUGGUGCUGGCACAGGAGCUUGGGAUCUGUCUCCUCUUUCGCCUCCUGCACCUUGAGAGCCCUGGGCUACUCUGUCACAGCCCCUGUUGCCCUGCGAUCUGUAGGUCCUUGGGGACGCAUAGUUAAGGUGCCAGGACAUCCUGGAAGCUGGGAAAUGAUUUCUUCCAGACCAUGGCUGGAGAAGGAAAGAAGGUGUGUUUUGCCUGAUUCAGGGACUAUAGAGAGAACCAAGUUCUGCAGGCCUGUCAUCUAAGUCUCAGGGCGGGGAGACCUUCCUUCCCCACGGGUUUGAGGCUAUGGCUAAGUGGUGAGCCUUGGUGAGACGCAGAAAGGAUCCAUCCCAGGCACUUGGCUAGAGGCUGAAUGCUAUCCCAGUGAUUGUACGUGCCCUGUUUGCUGAAUCUACUCAUCCUUAAGGCUUUUGCAUAUGCAGAAGAAGAAUUGGAUGAAAUUCAGCCUUCAUUA